rnacentral:rRNA from 1 species
GGUUGAUCCUGCCAGUAGUCAUAUGCUUGUCUCAAAGAUUAAGCCAUGCAUGUCUCAGUACAAGCCAAAUUAAGGUGAAACCGCGAAAGGCUCAUUAAAUCAGUUAUGGUUCCUUAGAUCGUACCCACAAUUACUUGGAUAACUGUGGUAAUUCUAGAGCUAAUACAUGCAAACAGAGCUCCGACCGGAGACGGAAGGAGUGCUUUUAUUAGAUCAAAACCAAUCGGUGGCGGGUUCGCGCCCGUUAUCGUACAACUUGGUGACUCUGAAUAACUUUACGCUGAUCGCACGGUCAUCGCACCGGCGACGCAUCUUUCAAAUGUCUGCCUUAUCAACUGUCGAUGGUAGGUUCUGCGCCUACCAUGGUUGUAACGGGUAACGGGGAAUCAGGGUUCGAUUCCGGAGAGGGAGCCUGAGAAACGGCUACCACAUCCAAGGAAGGCAGCAGGCGCGCAAAUUACCCACUCCCGGCACGGGGAGGUAGUGACGAAAAAUAACGAUACGGGACUCAUCCGAGGCCCCGUAAUCGGAAUGAGUACACUCUAAACCCUUUAACGAGGAUCAAUUGGAGGGCAAGU